GCUCAGAACAGCUGAGCUGCCUUAAUCCUGGCAGCUGAAAGAAGCUGGGGUUGUCUGAGAAGCGCAGAGUGUGACAUGUUAAGGCUGGGAGGGCCUAUUUGUUCCUCCAAUCUGAGCUCCUCUGGGACAGGACAGGCAGUUUUAGCCCAGGGACUUCACAAUCUCCAUUACUGACCAGCACACGCUGGGCUCCCGGUGCUUGGGACCUGGGAAUGUGACUUCUCCAUGUUCCCAUGCUCUACAUGUGGCCUUUGUCCUUGUAGGGAGAGAAAAAUGGCUGCCCAGUUCUUUCCGUAGUGCAUUUGGCUUGGGAGAGCCUCCAUGAGUCCCGUCUGGCUUCCAGCACUGAUUUGUUCAAGGCCCUGCCCUCCCUGUCCCUGUCAGGAUUGCAAGGCAUGAGAAAGAAUGGCAGCAUCAGUCGGAUCUGAGUUGCCUGCCUUGUGCAGCAAUGUCUGAGUAAUGGACCACAGAGUGACAGAGCGUUUUGGUUCUGCUCUGGCCAAGCAUCUCGUUAUGGUCUGUAAAUCUCUAAAUCUUCUGUCUCCCCAGGCUUUCUAUGGAGACCCUGGCCUGCGCUAUCGCAAAGGGCCUGGGGGAGAGAGGGGCUGCAGAGCUCUGCAAAGCGGGAACCUGGCCACUACUUGAGAGCCCUCAGAUGCACCAUGAGGGGGUGUGCCAGCUGGCCAGAUAAGAGAGGGAGGCUGGAUUGCAUCUAUGCUCUAGGCAGUGGGAUGAGUGGUGGAGGGGAACUUUCUGUGCUGAACAUGCAGGGUUGUGUGGGGCUGGAGACCUGGAGCUUGUGCUCCAAGCGAUGAGAGCUGCCGCCUCAGAGCAAAUGAGUAUUGGCAGUGCUCAGCUGGUCCCAGAACUAGUGGUUUUCUCUUGCAGGGCUCUGCUCCCACUGGGAAUAAUAACGCCCCAAUUUAUAGGGCAGGUCCUAAAGUGGGCCGGUUCCCCAACGGAAAAUCUCCGUGUGACUGGUACGGCCUUCAUCAGCCAGCUGAAAAAACACCAGAAGGCCAUCAUGGAGACCCUGUUCCAGGCAUCAUUCGUGCCUACCAGGGCUGAGAUCAUGGAGGAGGGCAUGCGGGCACUCACCCGUGUCUUCAAACAUCUAGGGACGGAUGCGGGGUCCCUGGUUGAGGAUGCAGUUGUGAACGUCAGGUCCUUUUGUAACCAUGUGAGUGAGCAGCGCUCCCCACCCCCAUUCCAGCGCUCUUCUUUCGGGGCCGUUUCAGAGGCAGGAGAUGCACUUGCUGCCCCUUUUUCCAGCCCAAACUGGAAGAUGUUCAGUUCUGUGGAAGAGAUGAGUUUUCAGGAGGAAAAGCAAGUGAAGAGAACGGGAUGACAGAUGGGCCCUUGUAGACAGGAAGGGACGCUCAGGAGACCAGGCGAGGCUGCGGCUGGGGUCAUGGGGCUCUGUAGGGCUCUGGGGCUCUUCUCUGCUGUGUUGAUUCUCCUAAGUCGGAAACAGAGCUGGGCAGAGGCAAGCCUUGACCACAGGGGCUGGGGGAUGUGGUUUUGCUGGGAUUCAGGAUUGGAGCCCCUAGUGCCCGCACGUUCAGGGAACAAGGCUCGCUGCUGCUCCCCGAGCUCUGCUGAGUGCCCUGGUGCCCAGGCAGCCCAUCUGGAGCAGGACCUGCCAGAGCCCACGUCCUGGCACACCACCUGGCAGGCUGGAAGCCAAAGGCUCCUCCCGUCAGGAGCUGUGCCAGGCACAUGAGAGAGAGGCUUGGUUGUGACCACACGGGGGUUUCUCGGCCACAGGACAACAAUGGUCUUUGUGCUGUGGCUUUCUCCCUCUUCGGUGCCCUGGCAGGCUGCAUGAGGAAAAGGCAAGCCUUUUAUAAAAGGCAGGUGAGGCAGAGCCUGGGAACACUCCUGCUUCAUCUGGAGGACCCCAACCCACAGGUGGCCAAGGUAAGAACCGGUGACACUGAUUUCCUCAGCCCUGCCAGGUCUCCUCAGUCCAGCCCCAAGGGGAACUCUGCCUUUCCUGCGUCCAGUGGUGACCAUCCCCUUCCCGCUGAGACAGCUUCAUCCAGGCAUCUCCUUGAGCUUGGGGCUGCCUCCCAGGUUCAGGGCAGGUUGCACACCUGACCCCCUGUGCAUGCAGGAAAUCUCCCUGCAUGGCUUUACUGAGGGGGAGACGGGUGUUGCCUGCAGGUGCCAUAUGAAAGGCAGGAGAAGUCAUCCUUUUGCUCACAGCCACUCCUUUAUGCCUAGUGCCAGUCAGCUCCUGGCCAGGCCAUCCUGUUCCUGGCCUGGGCACAGUUCUGGGUCAAGAGGCAACCCUUGGCCUCAGCUCAGCAGUCAGCAGGGAGUACAGACCUGAUGUGACCGUGUUUUUCAGGAGUGCAGAACAACGCUGGGCCUGUGCUGCCCUUACCUGGGCUUAAGGAGGGUCCAGGCAGCCCUGGCCUUUCAUAUCCAGGGGUCAGAGCAGGGGAAGCAGGAACAGAUGCUGUGGCACGGGAAAUUCGGAUGGCAGCCAUCAAAUUUACAGCUCUGCAAGCUCUGGGACAGGACACCUCCCAGGAGGUCCAAGAUGUGGCCACUCGGGUUGCAGAAGCCAUUUUUAAAAGCCCUUGGGGCAGCACAUAGGAAGAGGAGGAAAACCAUGGGCAUAGCCUGCCCCAUAUAAUUUCAUUGCUUUGUUUUGGGUGCCUAAGGCCCUGCUCCAUUUAAAAGCGAGCUCCCGUAUUUG